AGUGUAUUUUGUUAUUAAUAAAAAAAAAAAAAAUCUGUUCUUAUCAGUUUAAUAUCUGAUACGUCCCCUACCCGGGGACUGCAUAUUAAAUGGAUGUUUGGAUCACGGAGCUGGAGCCGGGGCUUGCUCCGUCGACUCCACGCAUCGGCCUGGUAUUGCAGUGUCUCCAGAAACGAAGUGCUUCCC
rnacentral:snRNA from 1 species